UUUAAUUGGACUCAACGCCGGACAUCUCACCAGCAUCGACUGUAAUAAUGACGAUCAGGUUGAUGACCUUAUCCGAGUUUCAGAGAGGAGGUGCAUGGCCGCCGUCAGCUCGUACCGUGAGGCGUCUGUUAAGUCAGGCAACGAACGCAGACCCGCAUCCUUACUUGCCAGCAGCACUGCGAAGUGGCUGGGGACAGUAGGGAGACCGCCGUGGCCAACACGGAGGAAGGAACGGGCAACGGUAGGUCAGUAUGCCCCGAAUGUGCUGGGCAACACGCGGGCUACAAUGGUCGAGACAAAGGGUUCCUACUCCGAAAGGAGACCGUAAUCUCAGAAACUCGAUCGUAGUUCGGAUUGUGGGCUGCAACUCGCCCACAUGAAGCUGGAUUCCGUAGUAAUCGCGUGUCGUAAGCGCGCGGUGAAUACGUCCCUGCUCCUUGCACACACCGCC
rnacentral:rRNA from 1 species